rnacentral:rRNA from 1 species
UACGUAGGGCGCAAGCGUUAUCCGGAAUUAUUGGGCGUAAAGAGCUCGUAGGCGGUUUGUCGCGUCUGCUGUGAAAACCCGAGGCUCAACCUCGGGCCUGCAGUGGGUACGGGCAGACUAGAGUGCGGUAGGGGAGAUUGGAAUUCCUGGUGUAGCGGUGAAAUGCGCAGAUAUCAGGAGGAACACCGGUGGCGAAGGCGGGUCUCUGGGCAGUAACUGACGCUGAGGAGCGAAAGCGUGGGGAGCGAACAGG